rnacentral:rRNA from 1 species
CAAUAGCGUAUAUUAAAGUUGUUGCAGUUAAAAAGCUCGUAGUUGGAUUUCUGAAUUGAAUAUCCGGUCCGCUCGUCUCUGAUGAGUGCGUACCUAUGGAUAUUGGAUUCAUUUUUUGUGAGGACAUUUAUCUGUCAUUAAGUUGAUGGAUUUAUAGACUUGCAUCGUUUACUGUGAAAAAAUUAGAGUGUUUAAAGCAGGCGUUCGCCCAUUUGAAUACAUUAGCAUGGAAUAAUAAGAUAUGACUUUGGUGGUCUAUUUUGUUGGUUUGCACACCAGAGUAAUGAUUAAUAGGGACAGUUGGGGGUAUUCAUAUUUCAACGUCAGAGGUGAAAUUCUUAGAUCGUUGAAAGAUGACCUUAGGCGAAAGCAUUUACCAUGGAUGUUUUCAUUAA